AGGGGAUUAGCUCAGUCAGGUUAGAGCAGUGGGGACUAACCCAUGUGUCACAGGUUCGAAUCCUGUAUCCUCUA
rnacentral:tRNA from 1 species